AGUUAGCUUCUUCCUCUGCCCUUGAGGGGCUGGGUUUGGGAACCCCCUCUCCGAUGAGGUCCUCCGGCCAGAGGAGGAGAGGGAGAGCCGGGAGGCCGCUCUGUCCUGCUUGUCUUUCUCAGCUUUUGCUUUGUGCGAUCAGGGGAGGAACCCCACGCAGGGGAACGGUUAGUGGCUUUGGGGUCUCUUUGGUGGCCCUGUUUGAAGGAGGAGGCAGGCCAAGGGUGCAGGGUCAGGCCCAGGGGCAGAAAGGGAUGAGGCGAUGACCACAGUCGGGGAUCCAGGCCUGGCAAGCGGCAGAGGUGCCGGAGAGGACCAGCCGCCGGGCGGAGAUCGAAGCAGAAAAACAUUUAUGGCCGCGCGCCCAAAAGCGGGGAGCAAGGCCGGGGCUCUGGUAGCCCUGGGAAGGUUGCCUUCCUGAGGUCUUUCAAAAAGAGGAGAGAGAGAGAGAGAGAGAGAGAAGGGAGGGGUUGGGGCGCCUUGAAUUUUCCUUCCCGGGCUUGGAGCGCAGCGCAUUUCUGUAAAGGAAGAGAAGAGCACCGUCCUGGAUCUUUCCACGUCCGCCUCAUUCUAUCCAGGCCUCUCCCCUUGCCCGAGCUCUCAGCCGCCACCAGAAGACUGACACGGAAGGGGCUUCUGGGCCCCCCCCCACCAACUCCUGCCUGGUUUCCCAAACUUCAGCGACCUCCAGCCCUCUUUGGGUGGAAAAUAGCAGGGCCCAGGCACCUCUUCUUCUUGUCAUUUGUGACCCGUGCUCUCAUCAGGAAUAUCUUACAAAGAAGGAGAGGAAGGCUGGCUAGAGCCCUGUUUAUAUCUAGUUCUGCAGAUCCCUUCACAUCUGGAGAGUUUAUUUAUAACUCCCACUAUAACUCUCUCUGUUUGGAGGCACUGGUGGCUCUAUUGACAGACUGAUGUCUAGAAAAUAUUGCUCUAUCUCUAACCAUAUCUAAAUGUGCUGCGGCUGUAUGUACAGAUUUAUGCUCCAGGGAAAUAUAAUUAUUUCCAUUG